GUUGCAAUAAAAAGGUUAGUUUACAGUGCAAAAUAAAGCAUGUGUUGGACCGCUGAAAAUGUAAAUGUUGCUCUCUUAUUUUCAAACAAAAAUCAUAUUUACAGUAUGGAUCCUUUGCAACAAACACACAGGGCAGGGAAGAUGUGCUGAUUGGUGUUUCUAUACAAUUAAUCCCAUAUGGGGAAUUAACUUUCAAAUACUAAUAUAGUGACUUUUUGUCUCAGUUAUAAAAUAUACUGAGCUCAUCAUGCAAACAAUGCAACACAUUUACACUAUCCCACUCUCAUAAUAAGUGUAGUGGGCUUAUAGUAUUUUUAAAGCAACAAUCAUUCCAGGCAUACAGUUCCCAUGUGAAAUAACUUACAAUAAAACAGAGUAAUAAACUUAUACUUCUAUGCAACAGAAAGAAUAAAGCAAAAAGAUUUAAGUAGGUCUAUCAGGUACAACCUAUGAGUCAUUUCUUUUCUAAUAUACAGUACUGCUAUCUUGCAGAAAGAUAAGUCCUGCGCUCACUCCCAUCACCACUGGACAGCAGCAAGGACUACAGUACACAUCAGCCCCAAUAUAUGGUAAAAACCAAAGAAAAACAAGUUACCUGCGUUCUCUCCUUAAUCCCUAUGUAUUUUUUAAAACCUCCAUUUGUUUAAAAGUACUGCUAUCUUAUAUAUACACAUAUACAUAUACACACACAUAUAUACAUAAAUAUACACAUAUAUACAUACACACACAUAUACAUGUACAUAUAUUGGUCACUCAGGACAUGAACUCACAUUUCCCAUACUGCUGACUCAGAGUGGGGACACUACUAACUUACCAAAGUGUGUCCCCAAUAUAGACAAACAAUCACCCACAAAGAACACUUAGGACAAACAAAGGUGACCGGGAGAAAGAGAAGUUUGG